GUGAGGAAUAUUGGACAAUGGAGGAGACUCUGAUCCAGCCAUGCCGCGUGCAGGAAGAAUGCCCUAUGGGUAGUAAACUGCUUUUAUACGGGAAGAAAAAGGGGCACGUGUGCCCUACUGACGGUACCGUAAGAAUAAGGACCGGCUAACUCCGUGCCAGCAGCCGCGGUAAUACGGAGGGUCCGAGCGUUAUCCGGAAUUAUUGGGUUUAAAGGGUCCGUAGGCGGGCGAUUAAGUCAGUGGUGAAAGUCUGUAGCUCAACUAUAGAAUUGCCUUUGAUACUGAUCGUCUUGAGUUAUAGUGAAGUUGCCGGAAUAUGUAGUGUAGCGGUGAAAUGCAUAGAUAUUACAUAGAACACCGAUUGCGAAGGCAGGUGACUAACUAUAUACUGACGCUGAUGGACGAAAGCGUGGGGAGCGAACAGGAUUAGAAACCCUAGUAGUCC
rnacentral:rRNA from 1 species